UACGUAGGGCGCAAGCGUUGUCCGGAAUUACUGGGCGUAAAGGGCUCGUAGGCGGCCGGCUAAGUCCGACGUGAAAUCCCCAGGCUUAACCUGGGAACUGCGUCGGAUACUGGCGGGCUUGAAUCCGGGAGAGGGAUGCGGAAUUCCAGGUGUAGCGGUGAAAUGCGUAGAUAUCUGGAGGAACACCGGUGGCGAAGGCGGCAUCCUGGACCGGCAUUGACGCUGAAUAGCGAAAGCCAGGGGAGCAAACGGG
rnacentral:rRNA from 1 species